GCCUCUUUAGUAUACCAGUACAGGUGACUUCCACUCACCAAGCCUUAGAAAACACUAAGAAGAAG
rnacentral:tRNA from 1 species